AUCCCAGAUAAACUGCCUAUUUCAAAUGUUUGUCUGAUUCAUGAAGGGCCAAAAUAAACUUUUGGAGCUUUAGCUGGUAGAGCGCCUUCAGUUUUAUGGAGGUGGCUUGUAGUUGCUUUCCAUACAACA